GCGGCAGGCCUAAUACAUGCAAGUCGAGGGGCAGCACGAGUACUUGUACUUGGUGGCGACCGGCGCACGGGUGCGUAACGCGUAUGCAACCCACCCACAACUGGGGCAUAGCCCGGAGAAAUCCGGAUUAAUACCCCAUAAUGCAGGGGUACCUCCUGGUACCAUUUGCUAAAGAUUUAUCGGUUGUGGAUGGGCAUGCGUCUGAUUAGUUUGUUGGUGAGGUAACGGCUCACCAAGACGGCGAUCAGUAGGGGGUCUGAGAGGAUGAUCCCCCACACUGGCACUGAGAUACGGGCCAGACUCCUACGGGAGGCAGCAGUAGGGAAUAUUGGGCAAUGGGCGAGAGCCUGACCCAGCCAUGCCGCGUGAAGGAUGAAGGCCUUCUGGGUUGUAAACUUCUUUUAUACAGGAAGAAAAAGGUCAUGCGUGACCAAUUGACGGUACUGUAUGAAUAAGCACCGGCUAACUCCGUGCCAGCAGCCGCGGUAAU
rnacentral:rRNA from 1 species